AUUGAACGCUGGCGGCAGGCCUAACACAUGCAAGUCGAACGAGUGGCGGACGGGUGAGUAAUGUCUGGGAAACUGCCUGAUGGAGGGGGAUAACUACUGGAAAAGGUAGCUAAUACCGCAUACCAUCAGAUGUGCCCAGAUGGGAUUAGCUAGUAGGUGGGGGAACGGCGCAACUAGGCGACGAUCCCUAGCUGGUAUGAGAGGAUGACCAGCAACACAGGAAACAGGACCAGGUCCAGACUCCUACGGGCGGCAGCAGUGGGGAAUAUUGCACAAUGGGCGCAAGCAUGAUGCAGCCAUGCCGCGUGUAUGAAGAAGGGCUUCGGUUUGUAAAGUACGUUCAGCGGGGAGGCGUUACCCGCAGAAGAAGCACCGGCUAACUCCGUGCCAGCCGCCGCGGUAAUAC
rnacentral:rRNA from 1 species